GCAAUGUGGGGGCAGCACGUGGCCAGAGGUGGACCCCCAUCUUCUCCAUCACCCCCCAGGAAGGGACCAGGGGAAGGAGCAGGGACAGGGACUGGGGUCUUGGGUUUGGGCCCCCCCUCCCAGGAGGAGGAGGAGGAGGAGGAGGAGGAGAUGAUCAUCUCUGUGGAGAUGGGUCCCAGGUGGGUGCGAGGGGCUGGGUGUGGGGCUGGCAGGGACCACCCCACCUCCCAUUGGGGGAGACCCUCAACCGCCCACCUCAGCCCAGGUGUAAAAGCCAUCAGUGGGGGCUGUCCCUCCUCUUCCUCCUCCUCCUCCUCCAUCAUGAUGAAGGUUCUUGGGAGAAGGUGGUUUCUGCUCCUUCUUGUGACCACAGCCUGGGCGCAGGAUGCCCUGAUCUUGGUGACAUGUGGCCGUGGGUGGCUUUCGGUGGCGGUGCCGGCUGGCCUCCUGGGGAGCCGUGUGGCUGAUGGGGAGCUGAGGCUGGGGUCCACCUGCGGGGUCACCAGCGCUGAUGGGGACAGGUACCGGCUGGAGCACCCCCUCCUGAGCUGCGGGACCACCCUGGAGUUUCUCCAGGACAGCAUCCACUACAGCAACGUCCUCCACUACCACCCCUUGGCUGGGGGGGCUGUGGCUCGUGCCACCCCCUUCUCCAUCCCUGUGGACUGUUAUUACCCCAGGUAAGUGGGGACACCCCCCCUGAACCCCAGAGCCGGGUGAACCCCCUGUGUCCAGGACCACGAUGGGACCCCUCAGCGCAGGAGGGAUGCCCACCCAUGGGGGGACACGGCAGGCGGGGGUCCCCCAGAGCUUGUCACCCCACUUGAGGACACUCCAUGGUCUAGGACGGGCAGUGUUUCCUCAGGGGGGGCCAUCCAGCCCACCUGGGUCCCCUUCAGCUCCACCUUCACCCACCGGAGACGCCUGCGCUUCACCCUGGAUGCGUAUGACAGUGAGUUGGGGGCGUCCCCAGACCCCUUCAAUCCCCCGUGUGAUGGGGGCCAUGACCCCGGGGUGACACUGGGGACAACCACCCCCCGUGUCCCCUCCAGGUUCCUGGUCCUCCCGCCUGCCCCAGCCCACUUAUUCCCUGGGGGAGCUCAUCAACCUCCAGGCGUCGGUGGAUGCGGACCCCCACCUGCCCCUCAGGGUCUUCGUGGACCGGUGCGUGGCCAGUCCCAGCGUGGUGGCCCCAUGGAGGCUGAGAUAUGAGGCCAUCGUUGAUGAUGGGUGAGUGGCCAGGGCUGGGGAGCAGCAGGGUGGUGGUCUCUGUCCCCAAAUAGCCACUCUCCCCCCUUGCUGGGACCAUGAGGAGGGUGACAAUGACCUUCUCACCCCCAUCCCACCCCCCUAGGUGCCUGCUGGAUGGGCAGCUUGCUCGGUCCCACUUCCUCCCCCAACGUGGAGAUGGUUCCUUUCGCUUCCAACUGGACACCAUCCUCUUCCCAAACACCUCCAGCAGCCAGGUCGGUGCCAGUGGGGCCUUGGGGGGGUUGCAGGGUGACCCCCAGCCACCUACCAAUGUGGGGAUGGAGUGGCUGGGGGUGGUGUGUGUGUGAUUGGGGGGGUUUCUCAGGUGGGGUGGCAGGAGGAUGGAUGCUUGUCCCCCCCAGAUCUACCUCCGCUGUCACCUGAAGGCUGUGGUGGAGGGGGCUGCUGGUGCCCCCGGCAAAGCCUGUUCCUA
rnacentral:lncRNA from 1 species